ensembl:lncRNA
GUCAGGUCAGGCAUCUGUCUCCUAUAGAUCCAGGUCUCUAUCAUCUCAGCAGCUUAGCCAGCAGGUCAGGGGGUUCCAGGCAUCUGUCUCCUAUAGAUCCAGGUCCCUAUCAUCUCAGCAGCUUAGCCAGCAGGUCAGGUCAGGCAUCUGUCUCCUAUAGAUCCAGGUCUCUAUCAUCUCAGCAGCUUAGCCAGCAGGUCAGGUCAGGCAUCUGUCUCCUAUAGAUACAUGUCUCUAUCAUCUCAGCAGCUUAGCCAACAGGUCAGGUCAGGCAUCUGUCUCCUAUAGAUCCAGGUCUCUAUCAUCUCAGCAGCUUAGCCAGCAGGUCAGGGGGUUCCAGGCGUCUGUCACCACGUAUACUGUAGGCCUCUCACACCAGCAAAUCCAGACACACACACACACUAUGUGGAUCAUGUCCCCUCUGUACUUUGAUGGCAUCGUGUUAAACUCUUCAGUCGACCACAGGGAUGUCUGACCCGACCUGUG